CGGGCAAUAGCUCGGUGGUAAAGCUCCCGCCUCGUAUGCGGGAAGACCUGGGUUCGAUUCCCGGCUGCUUAC
rfam:Toxocara canis scaffold16, whole genome shotgun sequence.